rnacentral:rRNA from 1 species
UACAGAGGAGCCAAGCGUUGUCCGGAUUGACUGGGCGUAAAGCGCACGCAGGCGGAUGCGCGCGUGGGGUGUGAAAUCUGGCCGCUUAACGGCCAGGCGCCAUCCCAUACGGCGCGUCUGGAGUGAUGCAGAGGUCGGUGGAAUUGCCGGUGUAGUGGUGAAAUGCGUAGAGAUCGGCAGGAACACCCAGGGGGAAACCAGCCGACUGGGCAU